rnacentral:rRNA from 1 species
GUGCCAGCCGCCGCGGUAAUACGUAGGGACCAAGCGUUGUUCGGAUUUACUGGGCGUAAAGGGCGCGUAGGCGGCUUGUCAAGUCACUUGUGAAAUCUCUGGGCUUAACCCAGAACGGCCAAGUGAAACUGACAUGCUAGAGUGUGGAAGGGGCAAUCGGAAUUCUUGGUGUAGCGGUGAAAUGCGUAGAUAUCAAGAGGAACACCUGAGGUGAAGACGGGUUGCUGGGCCAACACUGACGCUGAGGCGCGAAAGCCAGGGGAGCAAACGGGAUUAGAUACCCGCGUAGUCC